UAAGGUUAAACAAUAUUUGUUGUGUGGGCGGAGAUUAGAGGCUUGUAAAUAUUACUUAAAUGUUCAACAUCUUGUCUAAGAUUAACAGAAUUGGUGUGACCUACAAUGUUGCACAGUUCUAGUAAUAGUCUUUCAUAAUAAUUGUGUUCUUCACAAAGGAUGUUUGUAUUGUCGUAAUUAAAAGUAUGUUGUUUAUCGAUACUAUGUUUUGUUAGAGCCGUGUGACGUUCUUCAAUCUCAUGUACAUUGCGUUGGUGUUCCCUGAUUCUGGUGUUAAGGGAUCGGACGAGCACA
rnacentral:lncRNA from 1 species